rnacentral:rRNA from 1 species
GAUGGACGCUGGCGGCGUGCCUAAUACAUGCAAGUCGAGCGAACGGACGAGAAGCUUGCUUCUCUGAUGUUAGCGGCGGACGGGUGAGUAACACGUGGAUAACCUACCUAUAAGACUGGGAUAACUUCGGGAAACCGGAGCUAAUACCGGAUAAUAUUUUGAACCGCAUGGUUCAAAAGUGAAAGACGGUCUUGCUGUCACUUAUAGAUGGAUCCGCGCUGCAUUAGCUAGUUGGUAAGGUAACGGCUUACCAAGGCAACGAUGCAUAGCCGACCUGAGAGGGUGAUCAGCCACACUGGAACUGAGACACGGUCCAGACUCCUACGGGAGGCAGCAGUAGGGAAUCUUCCGCAAUGGGCGAAAGCCUGACGGAGCAACGCCGCGUGAGUGAUGAAGGUCUUCGGAUCGUAAAACUCUGUUAUUAGGGAAGAACAUAUGUGUAAGUAACUGUGCACAUCUUGACGGUACCUAAUCAGAAAGCCACGGCUAACUACGUG